GACGAACGCUGGCGGCGUGCUUAACACAUGCAAGUCGAACGGAAAGGCCCUGCUUUUGUGGGGUUCUCGAGUGGCGAACGGGUGAGUAACACGUGAGUAACCUGCCCUUGACUUUGGGAUAACUUCAGGAAACUGGGGCUAAUACCGGAUAGGAGCUCCUGCUGCAUGGUGGGGGUUGGAAAGUUUCGGCGGUUGGGGAUGGACUCGCGGCUUAUCAGCUGCUUGGUGGGGUAGUGGCUGACCAAGGUUAUGACGGCUAGCCUGCAUGAGAGGGUGACCGGCCACAUUGGGACUGAGAUACGGCCCAGACUCCUACGGGAGGCAGCAGUGGGGAAUAUUGCGCAAUGGGCGGAAGCCUGAUGCAGAAGCGCCGCGUGCGGGAUGACGGCCUUCGGGUUGUAAACCGCUUUCGCCUGUGACGAAGCGUGAGUGACGGUAAUGGGUAAAGAAGCACCGGCUAACUACGUG
rnacentral:rRNA from 1 species